CCGAAGCUUGCUGCCCCUCAUGCUCUCUAUAUUUGUCCCACUAGAGAACUUGCCAUUCAGGUGGGUAAUGUGUGACUGUUUGCAAGCCUUAUUGACUUGUCAUUGACUAAUGUUUAUAUAGCACUGUUUAGUAGAUUAUUUGCAGCUAAUAAUUGGAAUGAAAAUUAACUCACUAAUGCUCAGAUAGUUUAUUACUA